rnacentral:rRNA from 1 species
UAGGGAAUCUUCGGCAAUGGACGAAAGUCUGACCGAGCAACGCCACGUGAGUGAAGAAGGUUUUCGGAUCGUAAAACUCUGUUGGUAGAGAAGAACGUUGGUGAGAGUGGAAAGCUCAUCAAGUGACGGUAACUACCCAGAAAGGGACGGCUAACUACGUGCCGG